ACUACACUAUAAAUUAAUGAAAUGGAAAAUUUGAUUGAAAUUUAUUUCUUAUCAAUUCAAUUUUGGUAUGACGAAUAGAUAAGAUUAUUAAAUUUGAUAAACACAUACUGAAUGCUACAGUCAACAAUAGGCAGGUAUAAUUUCACUGGACUGAACCGCAAGCAACGACAAAUGACCACAAUGAAUACGAUUCGACACAAAUUAAAACAAAUAUUGCUUGAAUCGAGGUUAGGUAGGUCAAAAAAGGUGUUGGAUAGAUGGAAGGAAGGAAAUUGUUACAAAAUACAACAACCAAUCGUCUACGCAUCAUUUCGUUUUUAUUAUGGUAAUAUAAGCGAAUGAAAAAAAAAGUCCAAUGAAAAAUAAAUAAAAAGUGAUGACAAAAUGACAAAAGCAUCACACAUCAACUGCAUAGAUAUUGGAAUACAUAUGCAUUGUACGGCCCAUAUAUAUUAAUUUAAAUGUUAACAAUAUUUAAAUUAAAUAAUAGCGGCGGAAGUCACGAAUUACAAUAGAUUGUUUUUUAAAUACAAAAACAAAUGCAUUUCGGUUUCUUGUACACGCAUCUGGUACGAAUGUAUUUUUUUAAGUAGCCAAACCAGAGAAGAACUUUAACUUAAAAAUCAAAAGCAAGCACGUGUUGAAUGUAAAAUAAAUGAAAGUGAGUGGAUAUUGGGAGUCAUCUUCAUCUGGAGUAAUUUCGGUCUAAUAUAUGAAUUUCGCAACU